AGUGAACGUUGGCGGCGUGGAUUAGGCAUGCAAGUCGAGCGAGAACCGUAGCAAUACGGGGACAGCGGCGAAAGGGACAGUAAUGUGUAGGUACCUACCCCGAGGUCUGGGAUAGCUGCGGGAAACUGCAGGUAAUACCGGAUAAUGUCUUCGGACCAAAGGUGUGAUUCCACCUUGGGAGGGGCCUGCAUCCUAUUAGCUAGUUGGCGGGGUAAUGGCCCACCAAGGCAACGAUGGGUAGCGGGUGUGAGAGCACGACCCGCGUCAUUGGGACUGAGAGACGGCCCAGAGACCUACGGGGGGCUGCAGGCGAGGAUCUUCGGGAAGGGGCGAAAGCCUGACCGAGCGACGCCGCGUGCGGGAUGAAGGCCUUCGGGUUGUAAACCGCUGUCGUAGAGGAGGAAAUGCAGGGGGGUUCUCCCUUCUGUUUGACCUAUUCUAGGAGGAAGGACGGGCUAAGUUCGUGCCAGCAGCCGCCGUAA
rnacentral:rRNA from 1 species